rnacentral:rRNA from 1 species
AGAACGAACGCUGGCGGCAGGCUUAACACAUGCAAGUCGAACGCUGUAGCAAUACAGAGUGGCAGACGGGUGAGUAACGCGUGGGAACGUGCCCUUCGGUUCGGAAUAACUCAGGGAAACUUGAGCUAAUACCGGAUACGUGCGAGAGCAGAAAGAUUUAUCGCCGAAGGAUCGGCCCGCGUCCGAUUAGCUAGUUGGUGAGGUAAUGGCUCACCAAGGCGACGAUCGGUAGCUGGUCUGAGAGGAUGAUCAGCCACAUUGGGACUGAGACACGGCCCAAACUCCUACGGGAGGCAGCAGUGGGGAAUAUUGGACAAUGGGCGCAAGCCUGAUCCAGCCAUGCCGCGUGAGUGAUGAAGGCCUUAGGGUUGUAAAGCUCUUUCGCCAGGGACGAUAAUGACGGUACCUGGAUAAGAAGCCCCGGCUAACUUCGUGCCAGCAGCCGCGGUAAUACGAAGGGGGCUAGCGUUGUUCGGAUUUACUGGGCGUAAAGCGCACGUAGGCGGAUCUUUAAGUCAGGGGUGAAAUCCCGAGGCUCAACCUCGGAACUGCCUUUGAUACUGGAGGUCUCGAGUCCGGGAGAGGUGAGUGGAACUGCGAGUGUAGAGGUGAAAUUCGUAGAUAUUCGCAAGAACACCAGUGGCGAAGGCGGCUCACUGGCCCGGUACUGACGCUGAGGUGCGAAAGCGUGGGGAGCAAACAGGAUUAGAUACCCUGGUAGUCCACGCCGUAAACGAUGGAUGCUAGCCGUUGGGGAGCUUGCUCUUCAGUGGCGCAGCUAACGCUUUAAGCAUCCCGCCUGGGGAGUACGGUCGCAAGAUUAAA